GCGCCAUCAAAUUGGGGUGUUAGGGGAGUUUAAGAGGGGAGUUGACGUGGCACACGAGGAUUGGUUUGGCGUAAGAGAGGGGACUCACCUAUUAGGUGAGCACCCCUUACACCCUUAUGUUAUCUAAUCUUUGCUUUUGCAGUGCUAAUGAAAAGGGCAUACAUAUAGAUGAACUGUCGCAGAAGCUGAAACUUCCUUCUAACAAGAUCAUGGAAUCCAUAAAAACACUGGAAGAUGAAGGCAUGAUAUACUCAACAAUCGACGAAUUCCACUACAAAGCAGCAUAAAGCAGUUGAUGCAAGCUGCAAUAUGAUGUCAUAGACUUCAUAUGUCAAGUUUGUCUAACACUUUCUUUUGGCUGGUACUGGUUUAUAGUGCAAUGGAGUUUCUGAAACCUUUUUAUUCUUUAGAAAUGUUUUAUCAAACAGUUUGUGCUUAGGCUGUACUAAAAGUAAACAAUUCGGCUCUUCCCAUUUAAAAAGGUUAAAAAAAGUAAACAAAUACAUGGCUUACAUGUUCUAUCUGCAAA